rnacentral:lncRNA from 1 species
GAUGAGAGCCUGGGGCAGUAUGUUAAGAGAUUUCGGGAGGCUGUGGGGUCGGUGGUGGAGCUGAAUUCCCCACAAGCUUUGGGAUUCUUCACAACGGGGCUUGACAUCGGAAAAUCAAAGAAGCUGAUGAAGGACCUGGUGAUCAACCCCCCGGCCGACCUGACAGAGGCCUUCCAUAGGGCCGAAGAUCACAUAGCGAUCGAGGAAGCGAUGGGGAAUUUCAAACCACAAUCCCACGAGAAGUACCGAGAUCGAGACAAACAGAGCUAUCAGAAGUCUGACAAUCAGGGGAGGUCGGAUAGCUACAAGAAAAACUACAACGGGGGGGG